AAUAACAUUUCAUGCCACCCUGGACAUGCCUGAUCCCGUCUGAUCUGAGACCCUAAGCAGGGUCAGGCCUGGUUAAUAAUUGGAUGGCAGACCACCUUGGUAGGCCGGGUGCUGUAGAUG
rnacentral:rRNA from 1 species